ACGGCCAUAACACGUUGCAUCGGUUCCCCUACGAUCACCGAAGUUAAGCAACAUUAAAGCUGAUCAGUACCUAGAUGGGUGACCGCUUCGAAAUACCACGUGCUGUAAG